UUUUAUCUCCAACUCUAUUUGCUGAUCUUUCAUUGCGCUCCAUAUGCAUAUGUUAUGCUUCAAAGAGUGAUAGUAGGUACAAAUUUGACACCUUAACUUUGAAUACUUAUAUCUCCUUCAAAAAAACUUGAAAUCACCUAAACUCUUCACUCAAAUUAUACCCAAAAUCCUGAACUUGUUGGCCCUAGCCUUCAAAGUUCAAAUGACCUCGAAAUAAAAAUCCUAAUCCCUGAUAAGGCCUCGGGUAGCCUCCUUGAAGCCCACUGGGCAUGGCCUUCGACCAAUAGGAAUGAAGUUUCCCAUUCCUUGCCUUCAUCUAACCAUGCCUUGCUUUCAUCCCUCCCAAUAAGCCUCCUAUUUGUUAAGAAUUUCUACUUUAGGCUCUAAUCUCCUC
rnacentral:lncRNA from 1 species